GCCUCCCCUCCGCUGGUUUUAGCGUCGCGACAGAACCAAUCCCUCGCUAGCCCUACCUCCUCUCCCGUCUCCAGUCGCAGCCGCCGCCGCACCCCAAUCCAACCCCGCCGCCGGCGAUCUCCUCGCCCCCCUGUGCCGUCGCCCCCAACCUUCUAUUCCUCUCCCAAGGGAAGGGAAGGGAAGGCAAGGCAAGGGAAGGGAGAGGGAGCGCCCAGAUCCACGGCGGCAUCAGCGCGCCGUCCUCGACCUGAUCCGCGUCCGUCCACGGAUGAGAGCUAAUCGGCGCAGGAAAUCCCCGUCCCCGCGUCCGAGCCCCGCCACCCUCCGCAACGGCUCGACCGCCCAUCGACGCGCUGCCCCCGCGGCGCCCGACCAGUUCGGCUCUCGCGGCUGGUGGACGCGCCCUUGCUGUUGCCGACGCCGGCUCGCUGCGCCCCACUGGCCCUCACGCGUCUUCUGUCAAUGAUGGACUUGAGAGGUCAAGGAGUUUCCAUUGGGACAUCGGGACAUGCUCCUCCAUCUCCUCCGGUGGACGACAUCCAACAUCGCCAGUUCAUGCACUUAUGGACUGAAGAAAAAAAAAUGGAAAUGAAGAAGAAAAGAAUAGCAAUAUUAUCAUAUGCGAGGUUUGCUUUUAACCUUGGUUCCUAACCAAUAUUUGCUUCAUAAUUCUGCCGAGAGAUUCACACUGUCAUUCAUAUUAUGAAUAUAGUUCAUAACCAGUAUUCUCUUUUAUCUAAUUAUAUGUACAGAAAGGAGUAAUCUGAAGUGAAUUCAUGCUAUGUUAACAGUCUAACAAACAUCUUGGAGGUGUGAAUGCUUUCUUGGGUCUGACAAGUAAUCAAUAAUUGAUGGUAUACUGGGAUUUUUCUCAUACUUCUAGCACUUCCUCAUUGACAAUAAAGCAAGUAGUAUCACAACAAAGGCUAUCCAGGUAUUUUUUUUCAACUAUAAUCCUUCCAGCUUUAGGAACUGCUCAAUUGGAUCUGCACAAUCCAACAAAAUAAAUGUGCAUAGUGUCUGCGACACUUUCAUCCGAUCAUCACGAAGGGAGUUGUAGGAGUAAAAAAGUAUGUCAUACUGUUUUUUCAGUUCAAGCCAAAAGGCUAGGACAGGUAAUACUUGUUUUUACAGUACUUGUGCAAAAAGUAUGUCAUACUGUUUGCUCUAGAUGAUUUUGAUGAAUUUUACAACCUUAUUUUCAGUUGUUUACCCCAAGAAAUGGUCUGCUUUCAUGGGGUUUAUUGAAUCCAGGAAAGAACUGUGAGUAGUAGCGAACCAGACAUGAAAAGUUUCAGAGAACUACGAAAACUCCGGUCAGUUUUGUCGGGAUCUUGUGACACAGUUCCAGGACUCUAUUGACUAAGGAAAUGAUAUAUAUGUGUGAUUUAUCCUGUUAAAACUUUUAGUGUUCACUUAGGGGUGAGUGCAACCAGUAACUGAAUUUAGACUACGAACUAGAGUAUGACAGUAAAGUCAGGAGCAUGAUGGAGAACACACGGGACAUUGAGGACUAAUGGUCAACACUUAAAUCUUGCUUUACAUACAGUUCAGUUCCAAGUAGUCUGAUACAUAGAUGGCGAGGGGAGUGCUGAUUUGGGGUUGAUUUUGGUAAUUAUAUAUUUUCCUUGAUGACUGUCAUUUUGUUGUCCUACAUGUGCUCUAUGAUAUGCAUAACAACUUGAGAGCACCUUUGCUUCUCUUGAUGUGCUUCGUCAUACAGUUUUUUAAAGUGCACAAGCAAGCUUGCGAGUGAUGACAACUACUAUGACCUACAACCUUGAAUCUAGGUUUUUGGGGUUGAACAUAGGGGCACAGCGCGCUCUCCCAUCUAACCAGUGAAGCGUAAUGAAGGAAAAACUACAAUAUACAAAUCGUCACCGUCAUUCAGUUUGUCCAAAACUGAGAAAAGCUCUUUAAAAAAACUGGGAAAAGCUCACGUGAUGGAAUGAGAUGAGAUUUCAACAUCAUGAUUGCGUUUUAUAAUUUGAACAACCAAAGUAGAUGGUCCCGUCAGCCCGUGUUUGACAAUAUGAAGGGACAAACUUGUUGAUCCAUUAUUUUGCCAGGAAAAUACAAUAAUUCGGAGGGCUUAAAUAUGGAUAAUAGAUCUGACAUAAUCUAGCAAGGUGAGUGACUCAAUUGCACAUGUGCAAAAUGGAAGUUUAAACUUCCUUGAAUCUCUUGUAGGGUUUGGGGGAGAUUGUCAGCGAGCCACUGAUGAAAGUCCUUUUGCGAUGACAAUGCUAGAGAAGAUUUGAAAGAUCUUGGUUGGCGUGGGGCAACUUGUGUAUUCCUGGAUGGGGGCGCCGUCCGGUGGCAGUGGGGUGUGGCAGUUGCCGCAGCUGGGCACAACCGGGAGUCCACCUAUCCAGAACACCCAACUAUUUCAUCCGGUGAACUGCGAAGAGCUUCUGUAAUUAGCACAAAUCUGAAAGCAUAUAUGCAGCUCCCAGAUGUUGCAGGCUAGAGGAAGGGCAGGCACUCAUGCGAUACCAUGUAUCUGGUAGUGGUUUCGUUCCCCAGACGCUAUGCAUUUAUUGUCUGGUUGGACGCGCCGGGUGUGGGGACACUGCAGGACAUGUUUGAUCAUCAUGUCAGUGAAUUCUGGCGAGAAUGAACCAAGUGAGCUUUUGUAGCUGGUCUAUUCAAAAUGGAUGAACGGACCAGUUAGUGUACAUAUAAGUUUGCACUCUGUUUUCCUGCUCAUUCGUGCAAUGUGUUCAUGGGAGACUUAUUUUAGGAAAACAUAAAAUAAUUUUUCUUUCUGUGCAUACUACUCCAGCUUUCAAGUGCCAGGCUUCAAUAAAUCUGAAAUUUCUAUCGCUCGA